UAAUGCAUCGGAACGUGUCCCGUAGUGGGGGGAGUAACCCGGCGAAAGCCGGACUAAUACCGCAUAUGCUCUACGGAGGAAAGUGGGGGACCUGAAAGGGCCUCACGCUAUGGGAGCGGCCGAUGUCCGAUUAGCUUGUUGGUGAGGUAAUGGCUCACCAAGGCGACGAUCGGUAGCUGGUCUGAGAGGAUGAUCAGCCACACUGGGACUGAGACACGGCCCAG
rnacentral:rRNA from 1 species